rnacentral:rRNA from 1 species
UGAAAUUGAACUCGCUGUGAAGAUGCAGUGUACCCGCGGCAAGACGGAAAGACCCCGUGAACCUUUACUAUAGCUUGACACUGAACAUUGAGCCUUGAUGUGUAGGAUAGGUGGGAGGCUUUGAAGUGUGGACGCCAGUCUGCAUGGAGCCGGCCUUGAAAUACCACCCUUUAAUGUUUGAUGUUCUAACGUUGGCCCCUGAUCGGGGUUGCGGACAGUGUCUGGUGGGUAGUUUGACUGGGGCGGUCUCCUCCUAAAGAGUAACGGAGGAGCACGAAGGUUGGCUAAUCCUGGUCGGACAUCAGGAGGUUAGUGCAAUGGCAUAAGCCAGCUUGACUGCGAGCGUGACGGCGCGAGCAGGUGCGAAAGCAGGUCAUAGUGAUCCGGUGGUUCUGAAUGGAAGGGCCAUCGCUCAACGGAUAAAAGGUACUCCGGGGAUAACAGGCUGAUACCGCCCAAGAGUUCAUAUCGACGGCGGUGUUUGGCACCUCGAUGUCGGCUCAUCACAUCCUGGGGCUGAAGUAGGUCCCAAGGGUAUGGCUGUUCGCCAUUUAAAGUGGUACGCGAGCUGGGUUUAGAACGUCGUGAGACAGUUCGGUCCCUAUCUGCCGUGGGCGCUGGAGAACUGAGGGGGGCUGCUCCUAGUACGAGAGGACCGGAGUGGACGCAUCACUGGUGUUCGGGUUGUCAUGCCAAUGGCACUGCCCGGUAGCUAAAUGCGGAAGAGAUAAGUGCUGAAAGCAUCUAAGCACGAAACUUGCCCCGAGAUGAGUUCUCCCUGAGACUUAGAGUCUCCUGAAGGAACGUUGAAGACGACGACGUUGAUAGGCCGGGUGUGUAAGCGCAGCGAUGCGUUGAGCUAACCGGUACUAAUGAACCGUGAGGCUUAACCUU